UGCCCAGCAACUCCUAUCCCUACCUCCUCGUGGUACUGGCCGAGGUACGAGUAACCUUGGGGAAGAUCGGGUAACCAACCCCCGGUGCAAACUUUGGUCGUAUGCUGACAGGGAAGG
rnacentral:ribozyme from 1 species